UACGUAGGGGGCGAGCGUUGUCCGGAGUUACUGGGCGUAAAGCGCUUGUAGGCGGUCCACCAAGUUUGGGGUGACAGUUGCCGACUUAAUCGGCAAAGUGCCUCAAAGACUGGCGGACUUGAGGGCCACAGAGGGACAUGGAACUCCAGGUGUAGUGGUGAAAUGCGUAGAUAUCGGGAGGAACACCUGUGGCGAAAGCGGCGCACUGGACCAUAACUGACGCUGAGGCGCGAAAGCUAGGGGAGCAAACAGG
rnacentral:rRNA from 1 species